rnacentral:rRNA from 1 species
GAUGAACGCUAGCUACAGGCUUAACACAUGCAAGUCGAGGGGUAACAAGAGAAAAGCUUGCUUUUCUUGUUGACGACCGGCGCACGGGUGAGUAACGCGUAUCCAACCUGCCUAUAACUAGGGAAUAACCUUGCGAAAGUAAGACUAAUACCCUAUGAUUUCCAUUGAUGACAUCAGAUUAGGAAUAAAGAUUUAUCGGUUAUAGAUGGGGAUGCGUCUGAUUAGCUUGUUGGCGGGGUAACGGCCCACCAAGGCGACGAUCAGUAGGGGUUCUGAGAGGAAGGUCCCCCACAUUGGAACUGAGACACGGUCCAAACUCCUACGGGAGGCAGCAGUGAGGAAUAUUGGUCAAUGGGCGGAAGCCUGAACCAGCCAAGUAGCGUGCAGGAUGACGGCCCUAUGGGUUGUAAACUGCUUUUAUACAGGAAUAAAGUUAGCCACGUGUGGUUAUUUGUAGGUACUGUAUGAAUAAGGACCGGCUAAUUCCGUGCCAGCAGCCGCGGUAAAAC